AGUAGGGAAUCUUCCGCAAUGGGCGAAAGCCUGACGGAGCAAUGCCGCGUGAGUGAUGAAGGUUUUCGGAUCGUAAAGCUCUGUUGCCAGGGAAGAACGCUUGGGAGAGUAACUGCUCUCAAGGUGACGGUACCUGAGAAGAAAGCCCCGGCUAACUACGUGCCAGCAGCCGCGGUAAUACGUAGGGGGCAAGCGUUGUCCGGAAUUAUUGGGCGUAAAGCGCGCGCAGGCGGUCAUUUAAGUCUGGUGUUUAAUCCCGGGGCUCAACCCCGGAUCGCACUGGAAACUGGGUGACUUGAGUGCAGAAGAGGAGAGUGGAAUUCCACGU
rnacentral:rRNA from 1 species